rnacentral:rRNA from 1 species
CUGAAAGCAUCUAAGCGCGAAGCCCCCCUCAAGAUGAGAUUUCCCAUAUCUAUAAGAUAGUAAGACCCCUGAGAGAAGAUCAGGUAGAUAGGCUAGAAGUGGAAGUGCAGUGAUGUAUGGAGCGGACUAGUACUAAUCGGUCGAGGACUUAUCCA